UCACGACCUGAGCCGAAACCGGCGAUGGGCCCUCAACCGACUCGGCGCCCUGAAACAUAGGAUUUCUGAGAUCCGUGAGGGACCUUGCCCUCUUUCCCGAAAGGAGGGAUGGAGGGUCAGCACCUCACCUGGCAGCUGGUUCGAAGUGCAGACCGCAGGUACACUCACAGCAGCCUAUCCAGGGAGCACCUGCGUUUUGACAAGAUCUUCAGGAGAUUCUUGUGCACGAAAGCCUCACAUGUGCUUUCCUAGUCCUCCUUUCCCUCAAAGACACAAAGUUCCCUUUAAGAUCUGGAAGAAGUGAAGGUCUAGCCAAUGGACUCGCUUCCUCGAGAAGAUUCUCAGCAAGUGCAAGAGGUGGAACUUUAUUCUGAAACCAAGCAAAAUAAAGCGUCCUCUUCUCGGGCUCCGACGGAUGCAGACCGAGGCUCCCCCAGUGGGGGAGAUGCCGUGUCUCUGCACCUGAGCUGUCCUCUGGAGGGAGUUUGGGCAAGAUGCUUCACUUCUCCAAGACAGUUUUCCCUUCUGUAAAAUGGGCAUGAGAAAAAAGAUCCUCCUUUCUGAGUUGUGGGGGAAGUUCACAGAUCCACACGGGGUGGACGGUGUGUUGGCAGCCAGGUGUGGCUUAUGAUGUCACUGCAGUGGGGAGGGCUGGAGCCGGGCUCCUCAUCGCUAAGUGGGGGUAAUGCCUGCUGCAUGGGCUGGCCCAAGGAUUAAGAGGCUAUGCACGCACGAUGCCAGGGUGACAGCUAUUAUUUUCAUAACAACUGGCUUGUGUAACUGCCCUGCGUGCAUGGCAAUCAGCCGUGGCUUCAGGGAGGCCCCGGUACCUGAAUCAUCCAAGGACAGGUGGGGGCAGGUGGAGGAAGAGGCCACUUUGGGCUGCGGCAGUGCCUUCUAGAUGGUUCACAGAGGCACGGUUUAUCCCAGGGCACUCAGGCCUAGAUUCCUGAGAGAAUCCGUAAGAAGCACUGAAGUUGACAUGACAUGUUGCUAAGUAGAUUUCUUUUAAGAGGCGUUCUCUCUCUGAGGUAAUGACAGAUGUGAGUGUUGCCAUGGUGACAGGUUGUCUGUUGGGAAGUAUACAGCACAAUGGUUCAGGUGGCUUGCCUACAAUUUAUGGCCGUAGAAUGUAAGCAAGGCCCCUUUUGGGAGAUUUCACCAAGGGGUCUUCUCCUUCUGGGUUCUGGUUUCCAAAGCCGACUUUAUUUUGUGCCUUGGGUGACUGCGCAAGACGGGGAGACCAUUGCAUGUAUUUAGAAGGACAGAAUCUAUGCACACCACACGGUUGAAAGUUCAGGGCUUUCCAGGAACUGAAGGUGGUUGAAAAAAGUGCCACGUGGAGCUUAGAGCGUCAAAGGGAAGCAGAAUCUGCAGCAAGCCUCGAAGUCAUUUUAAUACGACGAGCACUCGGGGAGUGCCCGCUGUGUGCUGAGGGUCCCACGGAGGUGGAGGGUGGGUGAUGAGGUACGAGUGAGCCGCGGUCCCUGCCCUUCAGAGGUCAGGGCAGAGAGCCCAACGCAGAGCGGACUGGGCUACAGGCUUCAAGUGCUAUGGACACAGCUGGGCGUUUGGGGGCUGGGACCAGUCCCAGUGUCAGGGCCGUGGUCUGGGGACUGUAGCAGGAUCUUGAAGGAUGAGCAGGGUUCCUGCAGAGUCCAUUUAUACAGCUGCCUAUCAUUUCAUCGUAUGGAAACACAACAUGUGUUUUUUUUGUUUUUUUGUUUUUUUGGGGUGGGGAGGGAUCUCCCCUUCGAGGCUCACCUAGGCUGCUUCCAAAUCAUCUCUGUUAUGAGCAGGGUGGUGAACACUGUCUAUGCCUUUUGAGCAAGACAGUUGAAGUAGAAGAUACAUGAGUGUAGGCAGUGUGUUGUUUUGUUUUAAGAAAGGCAGAUUCCCACCCGCAGCGCCUCAUUCGGACGUGUCUGGGGUCUUGGAAGCUUGUCUACCCUACGUUCUCCUCCCAGUGGUCCUUGAGAGCUUGCUGGGAGGUCCAUUGGUAGGAGGGGAGCACAGCCACUCAUAUACCCUUGCCCCAAGAAUGGUCCUCCUGUGCCGGGGACGAUCAUCCUCUUCCACCGAGCACGUAGCUUCUGGAGGGACACACAUGGGCGGAGGGGGACACCCGCCUAGCCAGCCGGAUCAGCCAGAUCAACUCUGGAGAUCAAUGGGGUGACAGAUGUCGCAGCCAGAAAGCCCCAGUAUCCUGUUCCAGAGAAGCGUACCCCCCAGGUCUCCCCGUCUGCCAGGGCCUGGCCUGCCAAUGUUUCACCUUGAGCAGAUGCAAAUCCUCGUCUUGGUGUUUUAUGGCCUCUGCAUCUGUUCUCUGAUUUUUCUGUAUUGUGUCUCUUUUGAAUGAGAGGAAAAAAUGCCCGUUUAUGGGAACAGAAAAAAAAACAAGUUUCAGGAAGUGCGGCUCAUUUCUUGGUGUACCAAUGAAUGGCAUCUCGUUGCUGUCCA